CUUAAAUUGAAGAGUUUGAUCAUGGCUCAGAUUGAACGCUGGCGGCAGGCCUAACACAUGCAAGUCGAGCGGAAACGACACUAACAAUCCUUCGGGUGCGUUAAUGG
rnacentral:rRNA from 1 species